rnacentral:rRNA from 1 species
GCAAGUCGAGGGGUAACGGAAGUAGCUUGCUACUAGACGACGACCGGCGCACGGGUGAGUAACGCGUAUGUAAUCUGCCUUGUACAGAGGGAUAGCCCAGAGAAAUUUGGAUUAAUACCUCAUAGUAUUACUGAGUCGCAUGAUUUGGUAAUUAAAGCUCCGGCGGUACAAGAUGAACAUGCGUGACAUUAGCUAGUUGGUAAGGUAACGGCUUACCAAGGCUACGAUGUCUAGGGGUUCUGAGAGGAUGAUCCCCCACACUGGUACUGAGACACGGACCAGACUCCUACGGGAGGCAGCAGUGAGGAAUAUUGGUCAAUGGACGCAAGUCUGAACCAGCCAUCCCGCGUGAAGGAUGACUGCCCUAUGGGUUGUAAACUUCUUUUAUAUGCAAAUAAACCUACUUUCGUGAAAGUAGCUGAAGGUACCAUAUGAAU